AUCCCAUAAUGAGGACAGGCGGCCACGUAUUCCUGCUGUCGUUCCCAUGCUUCCGGAAUAGUCUCAUCCCUUGUCUGCUGGAAACUUGAAAAUCUUCCUCGAAGGGC
rfam:Oryza sativa Indica Group cultivar 93-11 Ctg036756, whole genome shotgun sequence.